GACGAACGCUGGCGGCGUGCUUAACACAUGCAAGUCGAACGGAAAGGCCCUGCUUUUGUGGGGUGCUAGUGUGGAGAAGGGGAGUAUAACACGUGAGUUCUGCUCCUCUCUUCUUGGGAAGACUUGAGGAAACGGGGUCUUACACCGGAGAAGCGCUCUUUCUUGAUGGUGUGGGUUGGAUUUUUUCGGCGGUUGGGGAUGGACUCGCGGCUUAUCAGCUUGUUGGUGGGGUAGUGGCUUACCACGGCUUUGAUGGGUAGCCGGCCUGAGAGGGUGACCGGCCACAUUGGGACUGAGAUACGGCCCAGACUCCUACGGGAGGCAGCAGUGGGGAAUAUUGCACAAUGGGCGGAAGCCUGAUGCAGCAACGCCGCGUGCGGGAUGACGGCCUUCGGGUUGUAAACCGCUUUCGCCUGUGACGAAGCGUGAGUGACGGUAAUGGGUAAAGAAGCACCGGCUAACUACGUG
rnacentral:rRNA from 1 species